rnacentral:lncRNA from 1 species
AUGUCAGAAGUUAAUGGUUUUCUGUGGAAAGACAGAUGCUUUGGAAUGUGUUGGAUGGAGAUCUUGGAAACUAACAAUGUCACUGAGGGAGAGAGGGUAAUGUAUAACGUUUACAUUAUGUCAGGAUAUGUCAGAGGGAGGGUAAUGUAUAACGUUUACAUUAUGUCAGGAUAUGUCACUGAGGGAGAGAGGGUAAUGUAUAACGUUUGCAUUAUGUCAGGAUAUGUCACUGAGGGAGGGAGGGUAAUGUAUAACGUUUACAUUAUGUCAGGAUAUGUUACUGAGGGAGAGAGGGUAAUGUAUAACGUUUACAUUGUCAGAUCAUGUUAUUGUUAGCCAUCCGGGAUCCUCUGGGAGGAGAAGAGACACAGUCUGGUAUUAAUAACGGUGACAGCCUUGAGUUGGGGAGGAGUGAGCACUUUGGGGAAGAGGUCAGGUUAGAUGAAGUGAGGAAGAACAGUGGCAAACAGAAGGGCCAGCAAAACAAAUCAAAGUGUAUUUGUCACGAGCCUGUAACUUACAGGCUCUAACCAACAGUGCGAAAAAAAGGUGUGUGUGUGUGUGUGUGUGUAGGUAAAUAAAGAAAUAAAACAGUAAAAAUACAUUUGAAAUAAGAGUAGCAAGGCUAUAUACAGACACCUGUUAGUCAGGCUUAUUGAGGUAGUAUGUACAUGUAGGUAUUGUUAAAGUGACGAUGCAUAUAUGAUAAACAGAGAGUAGCAGCAGCGUAAAAGAGAGGUUUGGGGGGGGAGGGGAACACAAUGCAAAUAGUCCGGGUAAUCAUUGGUUACCUGUUCAGGAGUCUUAUGGCUUUGAGGUAAAAACUAUUGAGAAGCCUUUCUGUCCUAGACUUGGCACUCCGGUACCGCUUGCCAUGCGGUAGUAAAGAGAAAAGUCUAUGACUGGGGUGGCUGGGGUCUUUGACAAUUUUUAGGGCCUUCCCCUGACACCGCCUGGUGUAGAGGUCCUGGAUGGCAGGCAGCUUUGCCCCAGUGAUGUACUGGGCCGUACGCACUACCCUCUGAAGUGCCUUGCGGUCGGAGGCCGAGCAAUUGUCGUACCAGGCAGUGAUUCAACCAGUCAGGAUAUUCUCGAUGUUAUAGCUGUAGAACAUUUUGAGGAUCUCAGGACCCAUGCCAAACCUUUUUAGUUUCCUGAGGGGGAAUAGGCUUUGUCGUGCCCUCUUCACGACUGUCUUGGUGUAUUUGGACCAUUCUAGUUUGUUGGUGAUGUGGACACCAAGGAAUUUGAAGCUCUCAACCUGCUCCACUACAGCCCCGUUGAUGAGAAUGGUCGUCCUUUUCCAGUAGUCCACAAUCAUCUCCUUAGUCUUGGUUACGUUGAGGGAUAGGUUGUUAUUCUGGCACCACCUGGCCAGGUCUUUGACCUCCUCCCUAUAGGCUGUCUCGUCGUUGUCGGUGAUAAGGCCUACCACUGUUGUGUCAUCUGCAAACUUAAUGAUGGUGUUGGACUCAUGCCUGGCCAUGCAGUCAUGGGUGAACAGGGAGUACAGGAGGGGACUGAGCACGCACCCCUGGGGAGCUCCAGUGAUGAGGAUCAGCGUGGCAGAUGUGUUGCUACCUACCCUUACCACCUGGGGGCGGCCUGUCAGGAAGUCCAGGAUCCAGUUGCAGAGGGAGGUGUUUAGUCCCAGGGUCCUUAGCUUAAUGAUGAGCUUUGAGGGGAAUAUGGUGUUGAACGCUGAGCUGUAGUCAAUGAAUAGCAUUCUCACAUAGGUGUUCCUUUGUCCAGGUGGGAAAGGGCAGUGUGGAGUGCAAUAGAGAUUGCAUCAUCUGUUGAUCUGUUUGGGCGGUAUGCAAAUUGGAGUGGGUCUAGGGUUCCUGGGAUAAUGGUGUUGAUGUGAGCCAUUACCAGCCUUUCAAAGCACUUCAUGGCUACGGAUGUGAGUGCUACGGGUCUGUAGUCAUUUAGGCAGGUUGCCUUUGUGUACGUGGGCACAGGGACUAUGGUGGUCUGCUUGAAGCAUGUUGGUAUUACAGACUGAAUCAGGGACAUGUUGAAAAUAUCAGUGAAGACAGUUGGUCAGCACAUGCCUGGAGCACACGUCCUGGUAAUCCGUCUGGCCCCGCAGCCUUGUGUAUGUUGACCUGUUUAAAGGUCUUACUCACGUCGGCUACGGAGAGCGUGAUCACACAGUUGUCCGGAACAGCUGAUGCUCUCAUGCAUGCCACAGUGUUGCUUGCCUCGAAGCGAGCAUAGAAGUGAUUUAGCUCAUCUGGUAGGCUUGUGUCACUGGGAAGCUUGCGGUUGUGCUUCCCUUUGUAGUCUGUAAUAGUUUGCACGCGCUGCCACAUAAGACGAGCGUUGUAGAAUGAUUCAAUCUUAGCCCUGUAUUGAUGCUUUGCCUGUUUGAUGGAUCGUCGCAUGGCAGAGUGUGAUUUCUUGUAAGCUUCCGGGUUAGAGUCCCGCACCUUGGAAUUGGCAGCUUUACCCUUUAGCUCAGUGCGAAUGUUGCCUGUAAUCCAUGGCUUCUGAUUGGGGUAUGUACGUACAGUCACUGUGGGGACGACGUCCUCAAUGCACUUAUUGAUAAAGCCAGUGACUGAUGUGGUGUACUCCUCAAUGUCAUCGGAAGAAUCCCGGAACAUGUUCCAGUCUGUGAUAACAAAAUAGUCCUGUAGUUUAGCAUCUGCUUCAUCUGACCAUUUUUUUAUAGACCGAGUCACUGGUGCUUCCUGCUUUAAUUUUUGCUUGUAAGCAGGAAUCAGGAAGAUAGAGUUGUGGUCGGAUUUACCAAAUGGAGGGCGAGGGAGAGCUUUGUACGUGUCUCUGUGUGUGGAGUACAGGUGAUCUAAAAUUAUUUCCCUCUGGUUGCACAUUUAACAUGUUGAUGGAAAUGACGUAGAACUGAUUUAAGUUUCCCUGCAUUAAAGUCUCCGGCCACUAGGAGCGUCGUCUCUGGGUGAGUGGUUCCUGUUUGCUUAUUUCCUUACACAGCUGACUGAGUGUGGUCUUAGUGCCAGCAUCUGUCUGUGGUGGUAAAUAAACUGUCAUUCAGCCAUGAUUCCGUGAAACAUAGGAUAUUACAGUUUGGUGUCCCGUUGGUAGGAUAUUCGUGAUCGUACCUAGUCUAGUUUAUUGUCCAAUUACACGUUGGCGAGUAGUAUUGACGGUAACGGCAGCUUUCCUACUCGCCUUCUGCGGGUCCUGACCAGGCAUCCUGCUCUGUGUCCUCUGUACCUGCGUCUCUUUCUAUUGCCAAUGAAGGGGAUAUCGGCUUUGUCGGGUGUCUGAAGUACAUCCUGUGCAUCCUGCUUGUUGAAGAAAAAAUAUUUGUCUAAUCCGAGGUGACUGAUCGUUGUCCUGAUAUCCAGAAGCUCUUUUUUUUGCAGUAAAAUUCGGUGGCAGAAACAUGUACAAAAUAAGUUACAAAUAACAGGAAACCCCCCCACAUAAUGGCACAAUUGGUUAGACGCCCGUAAAACAGUUGCCAUUUUUUCCGGCGCCAUUUUAGUUUAGUGUUGUCUCUCUUGUCGUGUGUUUUGUCCUAUAUUUCUAUUAGAUGUAUUUUUAAUCCCCCGUCCCCCCAGGAGGCCUUUUGCCUUUUGGUAAGCUGUCAUUGUAAAUGUAAACUGGACAUUCAAAGACUUGUCCCGAAGCCACUCCUGUGUUGUCUUGGCUGUGUGCUUAAGGUCGUUGUAAUGUUGGAAGGUAAACCAUCGCCCCCAGUCUGAGGUUCUGAGGGCUCUGGAGCAGGUUUUUAAAUCAAGGAUCUCUGUGUACUUUGCUCCAUUCAUCUUUCCCUCGAUCCUGACUGGUCUCCCAGUCCCUGCCGCUGAAAAACAUCCCCACAGCAUGAUGCUGCCACCACCACGCCUCACCGUAGGGAUGCUGCCAUGUUUCCUCCAGAAGGGACGCUUGGCAUUCAGGCAAAAGAGUUCAAUCUUGGUUUCAUCAGACCAGAGAAACUUGUUUCUCAUGGUCGGAGUCCUUUAGGUGACUUUUGGCAAAUACCAAGCCAGUUGUCAUGUGCCUUUUACUGAGGAGUGGUUUCCGUCUGGCCACUCUACCAUAAAGGCCUGAUCCUUGGAGUAAAACCUUCCAGAAGGACAACCAUCUCCACAGAGACACUCUGGAGUUCUGUCAGAGUAACCAUUGGGUUCUUGGUUACAUCCCAGACCAAGGCCCUUCUCCCUCGAUUACUGAGUUUGGCCAGGCGGCCAGCACUAGGAAGAGUCUUGGAGCCACACUUCUUGCAUUUAAGAAUGAUGGAGGCCACUGUGUUCUUGAGGACCUUCAAUGCUGCAGACAUUUGUUGGUACCCUUCCCCAGAUCUGUGCCUCGACACAAUCCUGUCUCGGAGCUCUAAGGAUAAUUCCUUCCACCUCAUGGCUUGGUUUUUGCUCUGACAUGUACUGUCAACUGUGGGACCUUAUAUAGACAGGUGUGUGCCUUUCCAAAUCAUGUCCAAUCAACCACAGGUGGACUCCAAUCAAUUUGUAGAAACAUCUCAAGGAUGAUCAAUGGAAACAGGAUACAUCGAGCUCAUUUCGAGUCCCAUAGCAAAUUGUCUGAAUACUGAUGUAAUAAAGGUGUCUUUUUUAUUUUCAACACAUUUGCAAACAUUUCUAAAAACCUGUUUUCGCUCGUCAUUAUGGGGCAGUGUGAGUAGAUUGACGAGGAAAGCAUUUUAAUUUAAUACAUUUUAGAAUGUGGUGUAAUGUAACAAACGGUGGAAAAAGUCCUGGGGUCUGAAUACUUUCCGAAUGCCCUGUACAGUCAGUGCUGCAGACGACCAAGGAAGAACAAACUCCGACUGCUGGUUUGAGUUAUUUCUGUUUAAAUCAGAAACUAAUUAGAUCUGUGAAACCAGGUGUACAAUCAGUGAAUGGAAUGGAUAAAGUGACAGCCUCCUCUUCCUGCCCUCUUCUCUUCUCCAUAGCAUUUCCUCCUCAUCAUCCU